rnacentral:rRNA from 1 species
AUUGAACGCUGGCGGCAUGCUUUACACAUGCAAGUCGAACGGCAGCGCGGGCUUCGGCCUGGCGGCGAGUGGCGAACGGGUGAGUAAUGCAUCGGAACGUGCCCAGUAGUGGGGGAUAGCCCGGCGAAAGCCGGAUUAAUACCGCAUACGACCUGAGGGUGAAAGCGGGGGACCGAAAGGCCUCGCGCUAUUGGAGCGGCCGAUGUCGGAUUAGCUAGUUGGUGGGGGAAAGGCUUACCAAGGCGACGAUCCGUAGCUGGUCUGAGAGGACGACCCGCCACACUGGGACUGAGACACGGCCCAGACUCCUACGGGAGGCCGCAGUGGGGAAUUUUGGACAAUGGGGGCAACCCUGAUCCAGCCAUGCCGCGUGCGGGAAGAAGGCCUUCGGGUUGUAAACCGCUUUUGUUCGGGAAGAAAUCCUCUGGGCUAAUACCCCGGGGGGAUGACGGUACCGGAAGAAUAAGCACCGGCUAACUACGUG